GGUAGUGACAAUAAAUACUGAUACAGGGCUCUUUUGGGUCUUGUAAUUGGAAUGAGUACAAUUUAAAUCCCUUAACGAGGAACAAUUGGAGGGCAAGUCUGGUGCCAGCAGCCGCGGUAAUUCCAGCUCCAAUAGCGUAUAUUAAAGUUGUUGUGGUUAAAAAGCUCGUAGUUGAACCUUGGGCCUGGCUGGCCGGUCCGCCUCACCGCGUGUACUGGUCCGGCCGGGCCUUUCCCUCUGUGGAACCCCAUGCCCUUCACUGGGUGUGGCGGGGAAACAGGACUUUUACUUUGAAAAAAUUAGAGUGCUCCAGGCAGGCCUAUGCUCGAAUACAUUAGCAUGGAAUAAUAGAAUAGGACGUGUGGUUCUAUUUUGUUGGUUUCUAGGACCGCCGUAAUGAUUAAUAAGGACAGUCGGGGGCAUCAGUAUUCAAUUGUCAGAGGUGAAAUUCUUGGAUUUAUUGAAGACUAACUACUGCGAAAGCAUUUGCCAAGGAUGUUUUCUUUAAUCAGGAACGAAAGUUAGGGGAUCGAAGACGAUCAGAUACCGUCGUAGUCUUAACCAUAAACUAUGCCGACUAGGGAUCGGACGAUGUUUAUUUUUUUGACUCUUUUCGGCACCUUUACAAGAAA
rnacentral:rRNA from 1 species